GACACUUUCCCUUGUGGGGCAUGAUAGUGUGUUCCUCGUUGCAGAAGGACCCCUGUAUGCAGAAGUAGAGGCGCUGGCCUCAGGCUCCUCCACUUCCUCUUGGACAGAAGACGCUGAGCAUUUUUUCAGGAAGUGGUCACCCCAGUGGUCCCCGGCUUUCUCAGACUUCCUGCAGCUCUCUACACAGUGAAUCACAGUGAGACACUGGCAGCAGGCACCACGGAAGGGACCCUCAAAUCUGAAGGCUCAAGGUCCUGGGAAAAGAUGAAGUGGAGCAUGCCUCUUGUUUCCUCCUAUUAGAUGCUGAGUGUUGGAAGUUCUUCCUAGGAUUCACAAAGAAACUCCUGCUCUUCUUCCACAUACUUUUUCCUGGGAAAGAAAACUUGUUUCACUGGCAGAAAAGAUCCCCACUGUUAAAGUGAGGUAAAGAAGAUUCUUGCUUCCUCUUUACGCGUCCGCCAUGAUUGUAAGUUUCCUGAGGCUUCCCCAGCCAUGCUGAACUGGUCUUAGAUACAUGAUGGCACUGUUGGCUUCCUGAAGACCUCUUCAUCCUGCAGAAGGUGCAACUCCACAGCAUCCUGAGAGGUUGGACACAAGGCUUGGAAAGAAUGAAUGGUGCCUCUCGGUGAAUUACUACAACCUGAAUCCUGUGACCCCACCUGUGAUGGCCCAAUGUUAUUGAAAUUACUGACUCCAUCCACUUAGCAAGUGGUAAAUACUCUGCAGGCAUAGAUUUGACUAAUGUGUUCUGUUCAGCGCCUAUUUCAACAGAUCUCAGCUGCAGGUUGCUUUCACCCCCGAAGGGACACAAUAGACCGUUAUCUGGCUACCACGGGGUACCUCGACAGUUCUGCCACCAUACACAAUCUUUGCAGGCAGGAUUUGAACUGCAUCUGAC
rnacentral:lncRNA from 1 species